rnacentral:rRNA from 1 species
UACUAUAACGGUCCUAAGGUAGCGAAAUUCCUUGUCGGGUAAGUUCCGACCUGCACGAAUGGCGUAACGAUGGCCACGCUGUCUCCACCCAAGACUCAGUGAAAUUGAAAUCGCUGUUAAGAUGCAGUGUAUCCGCGGCUAGACGGAAAGACCCCGUGAACCUUUACUACAGCUUCACAGUGGAUCUUGAUGUUGCUUGUGUAGGAUAGGUGGGAGGCUUUGAAGCGGUGACGCCAGUCAUUGUGGAGCCAACCUUGAAAUACCACCCUGGCAAUAUUGAGGUUCUAACUCUGGUCCCUUAUCGGGAUCGAGGACAUUGUGUGGUGGGUAGUUUGACUGGGGCGGUCUCCUCCCAAAGAGUAACGGAGGAGCACGAAGGUUGGCUAAGUACGGUCGGACAUCGUACGGUUAGUGUAAUGGCACAAGCCAGCUUGACUGCGAGACGUACAUGUCGAGCAGGUACGAAAGUAGGUCAUAGUGAUCCGGUGGUUCUGAAUGGAAGGGCCAUCGCUCAACGGAUAAAAGGUACUCCGGGGAUAACAGGCUGAUACCGCCCAAGAGUUCACAUCGACGGCGGUGUUUGGCACCUCGAUGUCGGCUCAUCACAUCCUGGGGCUGAAGCCGGUCCCAAGGGUAUGGCUGUUCGCCAUUUAAAGUGGUACGCGAGCUGGGUUUAGAACGUCGUGAGACAGUUCGGUCCCUAUCUGCCGUGGACGUUGGAAGUUUGAGAAGAGCUGCUCCUAGUACGAGAGGACCGGAGUGGACGAACCACUGGUGUUCGGGUUGUGUCGCCAGACGCAUUGCCCGGUAGCUAAGUUCGGACGGGAUAACCGCUGAAAGCAUCUAAGCGGGAAGCCCCCUUCAAGAUGAGACUUCCCUGGGAGCUAGACUCCCCAGAAGAGCCGUUGAAGACUACGACGUUGAUAGGCUGGGUGUGUAAGCGUUGUGAGGCGUUGAGCUAACCAGUACUAAUGACUCGAGAGGCUUGACCAU